rnacentral:rRNA from 1 species
GAUGAACGCUAGCUACAGGCUUAACACAUGCAAGUCGAGGGGAAACGACAUCGAAAGCUUGCUUUUGAUGGGCGUCGACCGGCGCACGGGUGAGUAACGCGUAUCCAACCUGCCCACCACUUGGGGAUAACCUUGCGAAAGUAAGACUAAUACCCAAUGAUAUCCCACGAAGGCAUCCGAAUGGGAUUAAAGAUUUAUCGGUGAUGGAUGGGGAUGCGUCUGAUUAGCUUGUUGGCGGGGUAACGGCCCACCAAGGCUACGAUCAGUAGGGGUUCUGAGAGGAAGGUCCCCCACAUUGGAACUGAGACACGGUCCAAACUCCUACGGGAGGCAGCAGUGAGGAAUAUUGGUCAAUGGGCGAGAGCCUGAACCAGCCAAGUAGCGUGCAGGACGACGGCCCUACGGGUUGUAAACUGCUUUUAUAAGGGAAUAAAGUGAGCCUCGUGAGGCUUUUUGCAUGUACCUUAUGAAUAAGGACCGGCUAAUUCCGUG